UACGGGGGGGGCAAGCGUUGUUCGGAAUUACUGGGCGUAAAGGGCUCGUAGGCGGCCAACUAAGUCCGACGUGAAAUCCCCAGGCUUAACCUGGGAACUGCGUCGGAUACUGGAUGGCUUGAGUUCGGGAGAGGUGAGUGGAAUGCCGAGUGUAGAGGUGAAAUUCGUAGAUAUUCGGCGGAACACCAGUGGCGAAGGCGACUCACUGGCCCGAUACUGACGCUGAGGCGCGAAAGCGUGGGGAGCAAACAGGG
rnacentral:rRNA from 1 species